AACGUAGGUGGCAAGCGUUAUCCGGAUUUACUGGGCGUAAAGGGCGCGUAGGCGGCCUUCUAAGUCGAACGUGAAAUCCCCGGGCUCAACCCGGGAACUGCGUCCGAUACUGGAAGGCUUGAAUCCGGGAGAGGGAUGCGGAAUUCCAGGUGUAGCGGUGAAAUGCGUAGAUAUCUGGAGGAACACCGGUGGCGAAGGCGGCAUCCUGGACCACGACUGACGCUGAUGAGCGAAAGCCAGGGGAGCAAACGGG
rnacentral:rRNA from 1 species